GACGAACGCUGGCGGCGUGCUUAACACAUGCAAGUCGAACGGAAAGGCCCUGCUUUUGUGGGGUGCUCGAGUGGCGAACGGGUGAGUAACACGUGAGUAACCUGCCCUUGACUUUGGGAUAACUUCAGGAAACUGGGGCUAAUACCGGAUAGGAGCUCCUGCUGCAUGGUGGGGGUUGGAAAGUUUCGGCGGUUGGGGAUGGACUCGCGGCUUAUCAGCUUGUUGGUGGGGUAGUGGCUUACCAAGGCUUUGACGGGUAGCCCGCCUGAGAGGGUGACCGGGCCACAUGGGACUGGGGUAAGGGCCAGGAUCCCUCCGGGAGCAAGCGGGGGGAAUUUUUCCCAAAUGGGCGGAGGCCUGAUGAAGCAACGCCGGGUCGGGGAUGACGGCCUUCGGGUUGUAACCCGCUUUCGCCUUUACCGAAGCGUGGUGAAGGUAAAUGGUAAAAGAGGCACCGCUAAAUACGUG
rnacentral:rRNA from 1 species